rnacentral:misc_RNA from 1 species
CUGAAAAUGCUGGGAAACUCAUUGUUGUGAUAUGCCCUAGUUCUGGAGAGCGUUACUUAUCUUCCAAGCUUUUUGAUUCUAUUAGGAAUGAGGUGGAAAGCAUGACCUAUUAGGUGUUGGUUUUAAUCAAGAACAAGUUCAUGAAUAUUUUCAACUUAUUAUAUGUAAUAGCCUUGGAAUUGCUGAUGUGCCAAACACUUAUGUAGAAGUUAUCGUGUAAAGGACUUUUUUUUGUCCUUUUGAAUAGGGGGUUUGGAGGAAUAGGGACCCAAACUGAUUCUGCCUGAAAUGUUUUCAGCCACCAAAUCAAGUCAAGUGACUGUGUAAAAGACUUCUGUAAAAAUCUUGUGUAAUUGUGGCUUCCCAGUACUCUUUUGACUCAUUUUAUUGAAAUACCGAAGCUUUGUUUUUGAGGGUGAGCCUUGGUAUCACUUAAGGCUUUCCAUUUUUAUAUGAAAUGCAAAGGG